CACAUACUCCUAAAAAUUCUAACAGAUAUAAAUGGAACACCUAGCCAUGACAAGUCAAUUUUAAAAUUGUAACUUAUAUAUAAGGGUGGUGGUCUGUAAUAUCAUUAUCGUAUACACAGCGCCAACAGAUUCUGUAUCGCUUUACAAUAUUAUAAGAGGGGGGAUUUAACUAUAAGUAGGAGAAUUGCAAGAAAACUUACAGGAACGAUAAGUUGAAGAGGACCCUGCUCAAACAUUAUUAUUAUCACCAUUUAUAUAGCGCCAACAGAUUCUGUAUCGCUUUACAAUAUUAUAAGAGGGGGGAUCCAAAUAUAAAUAGGACACUUAAAAGAAAACUUCCAGGAACGAUAGGUGGAAGAGGACCCUGCUCAAACGAGCUUACAUUCUAUUGGACAUAAAUAUAAAUUAUACAAUAUAAAAUAUAUAUUAUACACACACACACACCACAAAAUAAUGCAUCCUGUUCGUAUGAAAUGAAGUGCAUGAUACAGUAUUGUACUAAAAUGCCCAAAAAUUCGUUUUUUUUUUGUUUUUUUUUUAUUGGAGGUGAGAAUGGAAGCUAUGACUGCAUUAAUAUAAAUUAUUGCCCCCA